rnacentral:rRNA from 1 species
AUGAACGCUGGCGGCGUGCUUAACACAUGCAAGUCGAACGAUUAAAGCUCAUUUCGGUGAGUGUAUAGAGUGGCGAACGGGUGAGUAACACGUGGGAAACCUGCCCCUUUCUUCGGGAUAACUUCGGGAAACCGUUGCUAAUACCGGAUACUCCGGGAUGGUCGCAUGGCCGACCCGGGAAAGCUUUAUGUGGAAAGGGAUGGUCCCGCGGCCCAUUAGCUUGUUGGUGGGGUAAUGGCCUACCAAGGCGAUGAUGGGUAGCCG